UUCGGGACGCCGGCGAGUGGCGAACGGGUGAGUAACACGUGGAGACCUGCCCUGAGGUGGGGGAUAACAGCUAGAAAUGGCUGCUAAUACCGCAUACGCCUUACGAGGGAAAGAUUUAUUGCCUCAGGAGGGUUCCGCGUCGGAUUAGCUUGUUGGUGGGGUAACGGCCUGCCAAGGCGAUGAUCCGUAGCUGGUCUUAGAGGAUGAUCAGCCACACUGGGACUGAGACACGGCCCAGACUCCUACGGGAGGCAGCAGUGGGGAAUAUUGCGCAAUGGAGGCAACUCUGACGCAGCGAUGCCGCGUGGGUGAAUAAGGCCUUAGGGUUGUAAAGCCCUUUCAGUGGGAAAGAUGAUGACGGUACCCACAGAAGAAGCCCCGGCUAACUCCGUGCCAGCAGCCGCGGUAAUACGGAGGGGGCGAGCGUUGUUCGGAAUUAUUGGGCGUAAAGAGCGCGUAGGCGGUUUAUUAAG
rnacentral:rRNA from 1 species